UACGUAGGGUGCAAGCGUUAAUCGGAAUUACUGGGCGUAAAGCGUGCGCAGGCGGUUGGGCAAGACAGAUGUGAAAUCCCCAGGCUUAACCUGGGAACUGCAUCCGAUACUGGAUGGCUUGAAUUCGGGAGAGGGAUGCAGAAUUCCAGGUGUAGCGGUGAAAUGCGUAGAUAUCUGGAGGAAUACCGGUGGCGAAGGCGGCAUCCUGGACCGACAUUGACGCUGAACGGCGAAAGCUAGGGGAGCAAACGGG
rnacentral:rRNA from 1 species